CUUGCUCCUGGAUUCAGCGGCGGACGGGUGAGUAAUGCCUAGGAAUCUGCCUGGUAGUGGGGGAUAACGUCCGGAAACGGGCGCUAAUACCGCAUACGUCCUGAGGGAGAAAGUGGGGGAUCUUCGGACCUCACGCUAUCAGAUGAGCCUAGGUCGGAUUAGCUAGUUGGUGGGGUAAAGGCCUACCAAGGCGACGAUCCGUAACUGGUCUGAGAGGAUGAUCAGUCACACUGGAACUGAGACACGGUCCAGACUCCUACGGGAGGCAGCAGUGGGGAAUAUUGGACAAUGGGCGAAAGCCUGAUCCAGCCAUGCCGCGUGUGUGAAGAAGGUCUUCGGAUUGUAAAGCACUUUAAGUUGGGAGGAAGGGCAGUAAGUUAAUACCUUGCUGUUUUGACGUUACCAACAGAAUAAGCACCGGCUAACUUCGUGCCAGCAGCCGCGGUAAUACGAAGGGUGCAAGCGUUAAUCGGAAUUACUGGGCGUAAAGCGCGCGUAGGUGGUUCAGCAAGUUGGAUGUGAAAUCCCCGGGCUCAACCUGGGAACUGCAUCCAAAACUACUGAGCUAGAGUACGGUAGAGGGUGGUGGAAUUUCCUGUGUAGCGGUGAAAUGCGUAGAUAUAGGAAGGAACACCAGUGGCGAAGGCGACCACCUGGACUGAUACUGACACUGAAGUGCGAAAGCGUGGGGAGCAAACAGGAUUAGAUACCCUGGUAGUCCACGCCGUAAACGAUGUCGACUAGCCGUUGGGAUCCUUGAGAUCUUAGUGGCGCAGCUA
rnacentral:rRNA from 1 species